GAUGAACGCUGGCGGCGUGCCUAAUACAUGCAAGUCGAGCGAACAGACGAGGAGCUUGCUCCUCUGACGUUAGCGGCGGACGGGUGAGUAACACGUGGAUAACCUACCUAUAAGACUGGGAUAACUUCGGGAAACCGGAGCUAAUACCGGAUAAUAUAUUGAACCGCAUGGUUCAAUAGUGAAAGACGGUUUUGCUGUCACUUAUAGAUGGAUCCGCGCCGCAUUAGCUAGUUGGUAAGGUAACGGCUUACCAAGGCAACGAUGCGUAGCCGACCUGAGAGGAUGAUCGGCCACACUGGAACUGAGACGCGGUCCAGACUCCUACGGGAGGCAGCAGUAGGGAAACUUCCGCAAUGGGCGAAAGCCUGACGGAGCAACGCCGCGUGAGUGAUGAAGGUCUUCGGAUCGUAAAACUCUGUUAUUAGGGAAGAACAAAUGUGUAAGUAACUAUGCACGUCUUGACGGUACCUAAUCAGAAAGCCACGGCUAACUACGUG
rnacentral:rRNA from 1 species